rnacentral:lncRNA from 1 species
CUGCAAAUGCUGCAAGGGACUGAUUUGAGAUAUUUCAGUUGAAUAGUUCCUGGUCCAUGCUGGAGGCUGACAAGGCGGUAACAUAAAGACCUGUUAUACAGGAGAUAAGAAAAGGAGGAAAAGUAAAGAGAGAGAUCAACUUUCUCAGAAGGUAUUUGUACAACGGAAAAAAACCCGAGUCCUUUCACUGGAAUCGGAAUUGCUUAUGAUUUCAGAGCCUCAGUUUCUUCUGAGGAAACUGAAACUUAUUCUUCUGAAUCUUACAGAACCACAGAGUCGAAGCUGAAUUUAUUCUUUAUACUCCACAGUGCUCUCAGCAUGACAGUGUGUGCAUCACCCAGAUUUAAUUCCUCAGUGACCCCUAGUGUCUUCAGAGGAGGAGGAGGCUGGUGUCUGACCUCAGGACAGUUUUCCAUGAGGCUCUUUGCUUCUUCAGUAGGGGAAUUUGGCCUAUUUGCAAUUCAGAGGCUCAGCAGGGACAGAGGACAAGCACCUCCAGUAUCUCUGGCUUGUUUUUGUGAGCAGAGGGAGGGAGCACUGUUGGUGCACUCCAAAUAUGCAUCACAUGUGCUCCUGCAAGCAGUUACCUUCUAAUCAGAACCUUUCUGACAUGAAAUGUGUGGAACAUAAAUUUGGAGGACCUGACAAGAAUGGAAGAACUGUAUAAAGGGUCUGAAUAACUGCAGAAGUUUAAAUUUCUAAGAAGACACAUUUUCAAACAGAAGACAUACUAGUUGUAUUGCCAAUGUAGUUAGACACUAAUUAUCUGAAUAUCCCAGUUCUCUAAAGUAUUGUUCCAGUGGAGUGUCAGAUUCCACCAAGAAUGGUGAGAGCUUCUACCUUCUGUAUAUGGCUGUAUGUACCUCAGUAAAUUUCAUCCAGACAAAUAUUGAUUUUUAUGGCUGAAGGGAAACUCUGCCCUCCUCAUUGACUGGAAAGAUGAAUUACAGGCUGUUUUCCCCUGGAGUCUCUCAGGGCUGAUCUACGACUUGGAAGUUCUGUUGGCAAUUUACUGGGCAAUUAAAUUCCGAGGAAGUACUCAGAAGGAAAAUGGAUCUUUGGCUGGCUGGAGUGGAUGUUUUCUAGCCAAAGAAAAGAGGAAAAUGUUGCAAGAAGAUUUAAACCCUGUAGGUAUAUAUUAAAUAACCUACCACUAACUGUCAGGUCUUUCUGCUAGCCCAAGUGUGUUCAGAUGGAUUUCUCCAGUCCAGAAUGUGAAAUGGCAGCUCUCAUGCCAGACAGGUUUGGAAGGUAUUGAACCCUUCACAUCUAGAGCAGCAGACUGCAGAAGGAUGAUAUGCUUCCACCCAUUAGUGUCUUUCAAGUAGUUGCAAAGGUUAUGAAGUAGAGUCAUAUACUGAAUGAUGGUAUGGAAUGGCAUAAAGCAGCCAUUCAUCCAAACAGUAUUAGUUGCCUUGGACUGCUUGCAGAGAAGAAUUUGACAACUUCAGUUCAUG